CUUGCUUUCUUUGCUGGCGACCGGCGCACGGGUGAGUAACACGUAUCCAACCUGUCCUUUACUCGGGGAUAGCCUUUCGAAAGAAAGAUUAAUACCCGAUAGCAUAAUGAUUCCGCAUGGUUUCAUUAUUAAAGGAUUCCGGUAAAGGAUGGGGAUGCGUUCCAUUAGGUUGUUGGUGGGGUAACGGCCCACCAAGCCUUCGAUGGAUAGGGGUUCUGAGAGGAAGGUCCCCCACAUUGGAACUGAGACACGGUCCAA
rnacentral:rRNA from 1 species